rnacentral:rRNA from 1 species
UGACCCAAACCCUCACCAGAGUAGCAAUUGGAGGGCAAGUCUGGUGCCAGCAGCCGCGGUAAUUCCAGCUCCAAUAGCGUAUAUUAAACUUGUUGCAGUUAAAAAGCUCGUAGUUGUAUUUUUGCGUUGACGGUUUGACCAUUUGGUUGGUUAUUUCGUUUUCGCUUUUGGGAAUUUCCCUUUUUACUUUGAGAAAAUUAGAGUGUUUCAAGCAGACUUUUGUCUUGAAUACUUCAGCAUGGAAUAAUAGAGUAGGACUUUGGUUCUAUUUUGUUGGUUAUUGAACCUUAGUAAUGGUUAAUAGGAACGGUUGGGGGCAUUCGUAUUUAACUGUCAGAGGUGAAAUUCUUAGAUUUGUUAAAGACGAACUACUGCGAAAGCAUUUGCCAAGGACGUUUCCAUUAAUCAAGAACGAAAGUUAGGGG